rnacentral:rRNA from 1 species
UACGUAGGGUGCGAGCGUUAAUCGGAAUUACUGGGCGUAAAGCGUGCGCAGGCGGUUUUGUAAGCCAGAUGUGAAAUCCCCGGGCUUAACCUGGGAAUGGCAUUUGGGACUGCAAGGCUGGAGUGCGGCAGAGGAGACUGGAAUUCCUGGUGUAGCGGUGGAAUGCGCAGAUAUCAGGAGGAACACCGAUGGCGAAGGCAGGUCACUGGGCCGCAACUGACGCUGAGGAGCGAAAGCAUGGGGAGCGAACAGG